rnacentral:rRNA from 1 species
CGACUCCCAGCAACGGAUAUCUUGGCUCCUGCAACGAUGAAAAACGCAGCAAAAUGCGAUACCUAAUGUGAAUUGCAGAAUUCCGUGAA